rnacentral:rRNA from 1 species
GACGAACGCUGGCGGCGUGCCUAAUACAUGCAAGUCGAGCGGACUAAUGGGAGCUUGCUCCCAUUAGUUAGCGGCGGACGGGUGAGUAACACGUGGGCAACCUACCUGUAAGACUGGGAUAACUUCGGGAAACCGGAGCUAAUACCGGAUGACAUAAAGGAACUGCUGUUCCUUUAUUGAAAGAUGGCUUCGGCUAUCACUUACAGAUGGGCCCGCGGCGCAUUAGCUAGUUGGUGAGGUAACGGCUCACCAAGGCGACGAUGCGGAGCCGACCUGAGAGGGUGAUCGGCCACACUGGGACUGAGACACGGCCCAGACUCCUACGGGAGGCAGCAGUAGGGAAUCUUCCGCAAUGGACGAAAGUCUGACGGAGCAACGCCGCGUGAGCGAUGAAGGCCUUCGGGUCGUAAAGCUCUGUUGUUAGGGAAGAAUAAGUGCUAGUUGAAUAAGUUGGCACCUUGACGGUACCUAACCAGAAAGCCACGGCUAACUACGUGCCAGCAGCCGCGGUAACAC